ensembl:lncRNA
GCAGAGGGAGAGAGAGAGAGAGCGACAGAAUGAGACACAUGCAGAGGGAGAGAGAGAGAGAGAGAGGGAGAGACGACAGAAUGAGACACAGGCAGAGGGAGAGAGAGAGAGAGAGACAGAAUGAGACACAUGCAGAGGGAGAGAGAGAGAGAGAGAGAGAGACAGAAUGAGACACAGGCAGAGGGAGAGAGAGAGAGAGCGACAGAAUGAGACACAGGCAGAGGGAGAGAGAGAGAGAGAGACAGAAUGAGACACAUGCAGAGGGAGAGAGAGAGAGAGAGAGAGAGAGACAGAAUGAGACACAGGCAGAGGGAGAGAGAGAGAGACAGAAUGAGACACAGGUAGAGGGAGAGAGAGAGAGAGCGACAGAAUGAGACACAUGCAGAGGGAGAGAGAGAGAGAGAGAGCGACAGAAUGAGACACAGGCAGAGGGAGAGAGAGAGAGAGAGAGCGACAGAAUGAGACACAUGCAGAGGGAGAGAGAGAGAGACAGAAUGAGACACAGGUAGAGGGAGAGAGCGAGUGACAGAAUGAGA